rnacentral:lncRNA from 1 species
UUGGAGCUAGGGUUAGGGUUGGGCUUGGAGCUAGGAUUUUUCUGAGUACACUGAACCAACUCCCGAGUCUCUAGGACAUUCCUAAAAAAAUUUGAUUUUUUCCCAUAGGAAUGCAUGGGUUAGGGUUAUGGUUAGGGUUAGGGUUGGAGCUAGGGUUAGGGUUAGGGUUAGGGUUGGAGUUAGGGUUAGUGUUGGAGCUAGGGUUAGGGUUGGGCUUGGAGCUAGGAUUUUUCUGAGUGCACUGAACCAACUCCCGAGUCUCUAGGACGUUCCUAAAAAAAUUUGAUUUUUUCCCAUAGGAAUGCAUGGGUUAGGGUUAGGGUUAGGGUUGGAGCUAGGGUUAGGGUUAGGGUUAGGGUUGGAGUUAGGGUUAGUGUUGGAGCUAGGGUUAGGGUUGGGCUUGGAGCUAGGAUUUUUCUGAGUGCACUGAACCAACUCCCGAGUCUCUAGGACAUUCCUAAAAAAAUUUGAUUUUUUUCCCAUAGGAAUGCAUGGGUUAGGGUUAUGGUUAGGGUUAGGGUUGGAGCUAGGGUUAGGGUUAGGGUUAGGGUUGGAGUUAGGGUUAGUGUUGGAGCUAGGGUUAGGGUUGGGCUUGGAGCUAGGAUUUUUCUGAGUGCAAUGAACCAACUCCCGAGUCUCUAGGAGGUUCCUAAAAAAAUUUGAUUUUUUCCCAUAGGAAUGCAUGGGUUAGGGUUAUGGUUAGGGUUAGGGUUGGAGCUAGGGUUAGGGUUAGGGUUAGGGUUGGAGUUAGGGUUAGUGUUGGAGCUAGGGUUAGGGUUGGGCUUGGAGCUAGGAUUUUUCUGAGUGCACUGAACCAACUCCCGAGUCUCUAGGACGUUCCUAAAAAAAUUUGAUUUUUUCCCAUAGGAAUGCAUGGGUUAGGGUUAGGGUUAGGGUUGGAGCUAGGGUUAGGGUUAGGGUUAGGGUUGGAGUUAGGGUUAGUGUUGGAGCUAGGGUUAGGGUUGGGCUUGGAGCUAGGAUUUUUCUGAGUGCACUGAACCAACUCCCGAGUCUCUAGGACAUUCCUAAAAAAAAUUGAUUUUUUCCCAUAGGAAUGCAUGGGUUAGGGUUAUGGUUAGGGUUAGGGUUGGAGCUAGGGUUAGGGUUAGGGUUAGGGUUGGAGUUAGGGUUAGUGUUGGAGCUAGGGUUAGGGUUGGGCUUGGAGCUAGGAUUUUUCUGAGUGCACUGAACCAACUCCCGAGUCUCUAGGACGUUCCUAAAAAAAUUUGAUUUUUUUCCCAUAGGAAUGCAUGGGUUAGGGUUAGGGUUAGGGUUGGAGCUAGGGUUAGGGUUAGGGUUAGGGUUGGAGUUAGGGUUAGUGUUGGAGCUAGGGUUAGGGUUGGGCUUGGAGCUAGGAUUUUUCUGAGUGCACUGAACCAACUCCCGAGUCUCUAGGACAUUCCUAAAAAAAUUUGAUUUUUUUCCCAUAGGAAUGCAUGGGUUAGGGUUAUGGUUAGGGUUAGGGUUGGAGCUAGGGUUAGGGUUAGGGUUAGGGUUGGAGUUAGGGUUAGUGUUGGAGCUAGGGUUAGGGUUGGGCUUGGAGCUAGGAUUUUUCUGAGUGCACUGAACCAACUCCCGAGUCUCUAGGACGUUCCUAAAAAAUUUGAUUUUUUCCCAUUGGAAUGCAUGGGUUAGGGUUAGGGUUAGGGUUGGAGCUAGGGUUAGGGUUAGGGUUAGGGUUGGAGUUAGGGUUAGUGUUGGAGCUAGGGUUAGGGUUGGGCUUGGAGCUAGGAUUUUUCUGAGUGCACUGAACCAACUCCCGAGUCUCUAGGACAUUCCUAAAAAAAUUUGAUUUUUUUCCCAUAGGAAUGCAUGGGUUAGGGUUAUGGUUAGGGUUAGGGUUGGAGCUAGGGUUAGGGUUAGGGUUAGGGUUGGAGUUAGGGUUAGUGUUGGAGCUAGGGUUAGGGUUGGGCUUGGAGCUAGGAUUUUUCUGAGUGCACUGAACCAACUCCCGAGUCUCUAGGACGUUCCUAAAAAAAUUUGAUUUUUUCCCAUAGGAAUGCAUGGGUUAGGGUUAGGGUUAGGGUUGGAGCUAGGGUUAGGGUUAGGGUUAGGGUUGGAGUUAGGGUUAGUGUUGGAGCUAGGGUUAGGGUUGGGCUUGGAGCUAGGAUUUUUCUGAGUGCACUGAACCAACUCCCGAGUCUCUAGGACAUUCCUAAAAAAAAUUGAUUUUUUUCCCAUAGGAAUGCAUGGGUUAGGGUUAUGGUUAGGGUUAGGGUUGGAGCUAGGGUUAGGGUUAGGGUUAGGGUUGGAGUUAGGGUUAGUGUUGGAGCUAGGAUUAGGGUUGGGCUUGGAGCUAGGAUUUUUCUGAGUGCAAUGAACCAACUUCCGAGUCUCUAGGACGUUCCUAAAAAAAUUUGAUUUUUUCCCAUAGGAAUGCAUGGGUUAGGGUUAUGGUUAGGGUUAGGGUUGGAGCUAGGGUUAGGGUUAGGGUUAGGGUUGGAGUUAGGGUUAGUGUUGGAGCUAGGGUUAGGGUUGGGCUUGGAGCUAGGAUUUUUCUGAGUGCACUGAACCAACUCCCGAGUCUCUAGGACGUUCCUAAAAAAAUUUGAUUUUUUCCCAUAGGAAUGCAUGGGUUAGGGUUAGGGUUAGGGUUGGAGCUAGGGUUAGGGUUAGGGUUAGGGUUGGAGUUAGGGUUAGUGUUGGAGCUAGGGUUAGGGUUGGGCUUGGAGCUAGGAUUUUUCUGAGUGCACUGAACCAACUCCCGAGUCUCUAGGACAUUCCUAAAAUAAUUUGAUUUUUUCCCAUAGGAAUGCAUGGGUUAGGGUUAGGGUUAGGGUUGGAGCUAGGGUUAGGGUUAGGGUUAGGGUUGGAGUUAGGGUUAGUGUUGGAGCUAGGGUUAGGGUUGGGCUUGGAGCUAGGAUUUUUCUGAGUGCAAUGAACCAACUUCCGAGUCUCUAGGACGUUCCUAAAAAAAUUUGAUUUUUUCCCAUAGGAAUGCAUGGGUUAGGGUUAUGGUUAGGGUUAGGGUUGGAGCUAGGGUUAGGGUUAGGGUUAGGGUUGGAGUUAGGGUUAGUGUUGGAGCUAGGGUUAGGGUUGGGCUUGGAGCUAGGAUUUUUCUGAGUGCACUGAACCAACUCCCGAGUCUCUAGGACGCUCCUAAAAAAAUUUGAUUUUUUCCCAUAGGAAUGCAUGGGUUAGGGUUAGGGUUAGGGUUGGAGCUAGGGUUAGGGUUAGGGUUAGGGUUGGAGUUAGGGUUAGUGUUGGAGCUAGGGUUAGGGUUGGGCUUGGAGCUAGGAUUUUUCUGAGUGCAAUGAACCAACUCCCGAGUCUCUAGGACGUUCCUAAAAAAAUUUGAUUUUUUCCCAUAGGAAUGCAUGGGUUAGGGUUAGGGUUAGGGUUGGAGCUAGGGUUAGGGUUAGGGUUAGGGUUGGAGUUAGGGUUAGUGUUGGAGCUAGGGUUAGGGUUGGGCUUGGAGCUAGGAUUUUUCUGAGUGCACUGAACCAACUCCCGAGUCUCUAGGACAUUCCUAAAAAAAUUUGAUUUUUUUCCCAUAGGAAUGCAUGGGUUAGGGUUAUGGUUAGGGUUAGGGUUGGAGCUAGGGUUAGGGUUAGGGUUAGGGUUGGAGUUAGGGUUAGUGUUGGAGCUAGGGUUAGGGUUGGGCUUGGAGCUAGGAUUUUUCUGAGUGCACUGAACCAACUCCCGAGUCUCUAGGACGUUCCUAAAAAAUUUUGAUUUUUUCCCAUUGGAAUGCAUGGGUUAGGGUUAGGGUUAGGGUUGGAGCUAGGGUUAGGGUUAGGGUUAGGGUUGGAGUUAGGGUUAGUGUUGGAGCUAGGGUUAGGGUUGGGCUUGGAGCUAGGAUUUUUCUGAGUGCACUGAACCAACUCCCGAGUCUCUAGGACAUUCCUAAAAAAUUUGAUUUUUUUCCCAUAGGAAUGCAUGGGUUAGGGUUAUGGUUAGGGUUAGGGUUGGAGCUAGGGUUAGGGUUAGGGUUAGGGUUGGAGUUAGGGUUAGUGUUGGAGCUAGGGUUAGGGUUGGGCUUGGAGCUAGGAUUUUUCUGAGUGCAAUGAACCAACUCCCGAGUCUCUAGGACGUUCCUAAAAAAAUUUGAUUUUUUCCCAUAGGAAUGCAUGGGUUAGGGUUAGGGUUAGGGUUGGAGCUAGGGUUAGGGUUAGGGUUAGGGUUGGAGUUAGGGUUAGUGUUGGAGCUAGGGUUAGGGUUGGGCUUGGAGCUAGGAUUUUUCUGAGUGCACUGAACCAACUCCCGAGUCUCUAGGACGUUCCUAAAAAAAUUUGAUUUUUUUCCCAUAGGAAUGCAUGGGUUAGGGUUAUGGUUAGGGUUAGGGUUGGAGCUAGGGUUAGGGUUAGGGUUAGGGUUGGAGUUAGGGUUAGUGUUGGAGCUAGGGUUAGGGUUGGGCUUGGAGCUAGGAUUUUUCUGAGUGCAAUGAACCAACUCCCGAGUCUCUAGGAAGUUCCUAAAAAAAUUU